UGCAUAAGUGCUAAUGACUGCCUUGCCACCGCUUGAUUGUGAAAUUGCAAGGAUGAAGACGUGAGGGGGAAACAGAAAAAGGGGAUAUAAAAUGCAGCAGAACAUGACGAUUCACAACUUCUGAAUAGGACCAAUGCUGGUCCAAGAACCAAAGGGGCUCUGAGACCAUGCUUUGGUUCUUGAUUGUGCAGUAUGUUAAGUGGGAUGGUCAAUUGGACACCUCCUGUGAUUGCUUCCUAAAUCAUUCUUCAAGACUUGAACAAACAAUGUAUUGGUUGUCCGGUUUGGAAGUGCUACAUUCCCAGCAUACUCACCUGUGUGAGUGCAAUGGAGUCCAUGAGGCUUGUUUGAGCAGCAACAGUCACAUAAUAUUUGAGUAAGCAUUUGACAGAAGCUUUCUGUCUGAUCAUGCCUCUCUUUUUUAAAAACAUUUCGUGAUUUUACUCAAGAUCUUCCAAAUGUACAGAUAUGAUACUUGUCUUUCACUACUUCUGCCUGAAGAAACUGAAGGAUUGCAGCAGUACUCUUAUGGGUCUUCUGAUGUUCUGAUUCUGAGCAACAUAUUGGAAAAAAGCAAGGAAGAAAAUGAGUUAAUGAA